UACGGGGGAUGCAAGCGUUGUCCGGAAUCAUUGGGCGUAAAGAGUUCGUAGGUGGCACGUUAAGUUUGGUGUUAAAUCCAGAGGCUCAACUUCUGUAUGGCACCGGAUACUGGCGAGCUUGAAUGCGGUAGAGGUAAAGGGAAUUCCUGGUGUAGCGGUGAAAUGCGUAGAUAUCAGGAGGAACAUCGGUGGCGAAAGCGCUUUACUGGGCCGUAAUUGACACUGAGGAACGAAAGCCGGGGUAGCAAAU
rnacentral:rRNA from 1 species